rnacentral:rRNA from 1 species
CUACGAAGGGGGCUAGCGUUGUUCGGAAUCACUGGGCGUAAAGCGCGCGUAGGUGGAUCAAUUAGUUGAGGGUGAAAUCCCGGGGCUCAACCUCGGAACUGCCUUCAAUACUGUUGAUCUUGAGACCGAGAGAGGUGAGUGGAAUUCCUAGUGUAGAGGUGAAAUUCGUAGAUAUUAGGAAGAACACCAGUGGCGAAGGCGGCUCACUGGCUCGGUACUGACGCUGAGGUGCGAAAGCGUGGGGAGCAAACAGGAUUAGAAACCCCAGUAGUCC